AGGGAAUCUUCCACAAUGGACGAAAGUCUGAUGGAGCAACGCCGCGUGAGUGAUGAAGGGUUUCGGCUCGUAAAACUCUGUUGUUGGAGAAGAACAGGUGUGAGAGUAACUGUUCACAUCUUGACGGUAUCCAACCAGAAAGCCACGGCUAACUACGUGCCAGCAGCCGCGGUAAUACGUAGGUGGCAAGCGUUGUCCGGAUUUAUUGGGCGUAAAGCGAGCGCAGGCGGUUUCUUAGGUCUGAUGUGAAAGCCUUCGGCUUAACCGGAGAAGUGCAUCGGAAACCAGGAGACUUGAGUGCAGAAGAGGACAGUGGAACUCCAUGUGUAGCGGUGAAAUGCGUAGAUAUAUGGAAGAACACCAGUGGCGAAGGCGGCUGUCUGGUCUGUAACUGACGCUGAGGCUCGAAAGCAUGGGUAGCGAACAGGAUUAGAUACCCUGGUAGUCCAUGCCGU
rnacentral:rRNA from 1 species